CACAGUCUACCAUAGAAGGUGGCGCUAAUGCACCUUUCAGUUGGUUGCCACCCGCCAUUUAAAAGACAAAAAGAAGAAGUCACUCAGGUUGAAGAAGCGUCCACUUGCUGCUUCCCCAAACGCUAAAGCAUGCCAGCUUCCGAAACGCGAGGAGGUUGCUUCUCAAACUGACACGCGGCUACCUUGUAGAAGAGUGCUCACCUCAGGAGCAAAGAGUGGUGUCAAGGAAAACAGCUGCAUCCUCCAUCUGUACAGCAGCUGCACUGCUUCCGAUGUCUUCCAACACGUGAAGACAAAAAGAGAUCCUCACAUCUCCCCAGCCAACUGCCCAUGACUCUACCUGUUCUGCUCCAGAAACUAUGCUUUCAACAUAACUAUGAAUCCUACUCGUUCAUUUUGUGGUCUGCAAAUUGAACUGUGACGGUAACUUAUCCAGCAUUAUAGUGCUGGUGCAUUGGUUAAAAAUAAAGUUGGCUUUGACUAUU